GACGAACGCUGGCGGCGUGUUUAACACAUGCAAGUCGAACGGAAAGGCCCUGCUUUCGUGGGUUGCUCGAGUGGCGAACGGAUGAGUAACACGUGAGUAAACUGCCCUUUACUUUGGGACAACUUCAGGAAACUGGGGCUAAUACUGGAUAGGAGCUCCUGCUGCAUGGUGGGGGUUGGAAAGUUUCGGCGGUUGGGGAUGGACUCGAGGCUUAUCAGCCUGUUGGUGGGGUAGUGGCUUACCAAGGCUUUGAUGGGUAGCCGGCCUUGGAGGGUGACCGGCCACAUUGGUACUGAGGUACGGCCCAUACUCCUACGGGCGGCAGCAGUGGGGAAGAUUGUAGAGCGGGCGGAAGGCAGAUGCAGCAACUCCGCGUGCGAGGUGGCGGCCUUCGGGUUGUAAGCCACUUUCGCCUGGUACGAAGCGUUGGUGACGGUAAUGGGUAGAGAAGCACCGGCUAACUACGUG
rnacentral:rRNA from 1 species